rnacentral:rRNA from 1 species
UAAACGCUGAAAGCAUCUAAGCGUGAAGCCAACCUCAAGAUGAGAUUUCCCAUAGCGUAAGCUAGUAAGAUCCCUUGAAGAACACAAGGUUGAUAGGUCGGGGGUGUAAGCAUGGUAACAUGUUCAGCUGACCGAUACUAAUAGAUCGAGGGCUUGACCAAAUA